ACCGAAAAAGGCAAACCCGCCGCGAGGCGGGGACGCAAAGCUGGGGGACUCUUCCGAGUUUGCCCCGCUACCGAAG
rfam:Nitrolancea hollandica Lb, WGS project CAGS01000000 data, contig: 00164-1568